CUUUGAUUUACUUUCUAUUCGGAUAGUCCACUGAAGCCAUCUUACUUCAUUUAUAUAGCGGAACUCACAGCGAUGUUAUUAGAAAUUCCAUUAAUUAUGAUGAACAUUUUGGUCAGCACUGUUGCUGGUUAUUUCUGGGGUGUAUAGGAGACUCGAAAAAGGUCGUUCCUCCCCGCAUGCACCACUUGAAUGUAAAAAUAGUCCAAUAUAAAAAAUCCAUACGUCGGGAUUCCUGGCAUUCAUCCGUAUGUCCGCUUGGCAAGGACCUCCCUAAGCUCACUGUUUACGCUUUACAAGUUGUUAAAAGGCUAAACUUUAAAUUGAUUAAUAUACCUAAAGGACAAUACAAAAAUAUCUGCCAUCGGCUAUACUGUCAGCACUUGGGGGAAAUAUUUCAAG